GGAGAGGCAGAUGGCUGUGCGCUAAUUCCUGAAGUAUCCUUCUGGGGACCAUUCGCCCCCGCUCCCCCGCCGACAUCCCACACAGGACCACAGUGACCAGGUCCCCUCGGAGGGAGACUCUGUCCGCGGAGGUGGAGCGCCGCCGCCUGCCCGCGGGGUCGUCGGGCCCGGGCCCCGCGGUGGGCACCGUCAGGAGGACUGCAUCAGGCCGGUGAGCCGCUUGCCCGCCAGCGACUUUCCCUGCAGAGACAGGCGACAGAGUUGGCACGCACAGGCGCGCAGGUGCACACACACACACACACAGACGGGGACAGAGACAGAGAGCCAGACAGGUGAAUUAAUUGCUGCAAGAGCCACAGAGGCCAAAGGACUUCGCUACCUGACCCUGUUGAUCUCUGGGUUUGGGAGCCCUGACUGCAGACAGCCGGAACCACAGGCCUCUGGGAGGCAGGUGAGGUGUGAAGCCUGUGCCGGUUCCCUGCUCACCCUCUAAAGGAAGCCAGAACAUCGGACAGGGGUCUAGAGGAGAGCCUGGCUAGAUCCGAGCAGACGGAUCACUAUGCCUGAGAAAAUACUCAAAACCCAUGCUGUUACUGACAGCCGGUCGGCGACACUGUCGCCAUCUGUGAAGGGGAGCACGUGUCCUCAUCGGCAUGGGCUGCGGUGUUUGGUACUGAGAGGCCGCAAGGGCCAGCGGUCCCUCGUGUUCAUUUCCAAGUGGGGUGUGAGGGCUCAUCUUGUUUACUGGGCUUGGCUGCGUGCAAGCUGGAUGUAAUUAAAAGAAAUUGAUCAGGUUUGAGAAGCCUGGUAGAGUACUCAAUAAACUGGCUGAUUGAUGAAUUGAUGGAUAAUG